rnacentral:rRNA from 1 species
GAUGAACGCUAGCUACAGGCUUAACACAUGCAAGUCGAGGGGUAACGAGAGGAAAGCUUGCUUUCCUUGUUGACGACCGGCGCACGGGUGAGUAACGCGUAUCCAACCUGCCCCCAACUAGGGAAUAACCUUGCGAAAGUAAGACUAAUACCCUAUAAUUUCCUAAGAUGUCAUCUGACGAGGAAUAAAGAUUUAUCGGUUGGGGAUGGGGAUGCGUCUGAUUAGCUUGUUGGCGGGGUAACGGCCCACCAAGGCAACGAUCAGUAGGGGUUCUGAGAGGAAGGUCCCCCACAUUGGAACUGAGACACGGUCCAAACUCCUACGGGAGGCAGCAGUGAGGAAUAUUGGUCAAUGGGCGGAAGCCUGAACCAGCCAAGUAGCGUGCAGGAUGACGGCCCUAUGGGUUGUAAACUGCUUUUAUACAGGAAUAAAGUUAGCCACGUGUGGUUAUUUGUAGGUACUGUAUGAAUAAGGACCGGCUAAUUCCGUGCCAGCCGCCGCGGUAA